CAACCCUUUCCUGUCUCCAUCUUUCAAUGAUAUUGAAGAAUUGAAUUCUUGGAAGAGCUCAAAUAUCAGAACAGGGGUAAUAACGGAUACAGAACCAUUAACCACACAUUGGAUACAUUUGCUAGGAAGACCAGAGAAGAAAUUGCAAGAAACGCAUAUUGAUGCAGCUUUGGGAUUACUUUGGUUGAGAAGAAACAAGGAUCCCAUUUAUU